AUGUUGGGUUAAGUCCCGCAACGAGCGCAACCCUUGUCUUCUGUUGCCAUCGGGUUAUGCCGGGCACUCUGAAGAGACUGCCGGUGACAAACCGGAGGAAGGUGGGGAUGACGUCAAGUCAGCAUGGCCUUUAUGUCUGGGGCCACACACGUGCUACAAUGGCCGGUACAAACCGUCGCGAUACCGUAAGGUGGAGCUAAUCGGAGAAAGCCGGUCUCAGUUCGGAUUGUAGGCUGCAACUCGCCUGCAUGAAGUUGGAAUCGCUAGUAAUCGCGGAUCAGCACGCCGCGGUGAAUACGUUCCCGGGCCUUGUACACACCGCCCGUCACAUCACGAAAGCUGGCUGUACUAGAAGUGGCCGAGCUAACCCGCAAGGGAGGCAGGUCCCUAAGGUAUGGUCAGUGAUUGGGGUGAAGUCGUAACAAGGUAA
rnacentral:rRNA from 1 species